AGCGAACGCUGGCGGCAGGCCUAACACAUGCAAGUCGAACGAACCCUUCGGGGUUAGUGGCGGACGGGUGAGUAACACGUGGGAACGUGCCUUUAGGUUCGGAAUAACUCAGGGAAACUUGUGCUAAUACCGAAUGGGCCCUUCGGGGGAAAGAUUUAUCGCCUUUAGAGCGGCCCGCGUCUGAUUAGCUAGUUGGUGAGGUAAUGGCUCACCAAGGCUACGAUCAGUAGCUGGUCUGAGAGGAUGACCAGCCACAUUGGGACUGAGACACGGCCCAAACUCCUACGGGAGGCAGCAGUGGGGAAUCUUGCGUAAUGGGCGAAAGCCUGACGCAGCCAUGCCGCGUGGAUGAUGAAGGUCUUAGGAUUGUAAAAUCCUUUCACCGGUGAAGAUAAUGACUGUAGCCGGAGAAGAAGCCCCGGCUAACUUCGUGCCAGCAGCCGCCGCAGUAA
rnacentral:rRNA from 1 species